AUUGAACGCUGGCGGCAGGCCUAACACAUGCAAGUCGAGCGGAUGAAGGGAGCUUGCUCCUGGAUUCAGCGGCGGACGGGUGAGUAAUGCCUAGGAAUCUGCCUGGUAGUGGGGGAUAACGUCCGGAAACGGGCGCUAAUACCGCAUACGUCCUGAGGGAGAAAGUGGGUGAUCUUCGGACCUCACGCUAUCAGAUGAGCCUAGGUCGGAUUAGCUAGUUGGUGGGGUAAAGGCCUACCAAGGCGACGAUCCGUAACUGGUCUGAGAGGAUGAUCAGUCACACUGGAGCUGAGACACGGUCCAGACUCAUACGGGAGGAAGCAGUGGGGAAUAUUGGACAAUGGGCGAAAGCCUGAUCCAGCCAUGCCGCGUGUGUGAAGAAGGUCUUCGGAUUGUAAAGCACUUUAAGUUGGGAGGAAGGGCAGUAAGUUAAUACCUUGCUGUUUUGACGUUACCAACAGAAUAAGCACCGGCUAACUUCGUG
rnacentral:rRNA from 1 species